ACGAAUAAACCUGGCAGAUUGUAGCUGGCCCUUUCGAGGGUAUGUGCACAUCUGUCAUCUUUAUAUUUCCACCUGUGCACCUCAUGUAGAACCUAGGGAAUUAGAGCUGCAAGCCUAUCUGAGGUAAAACUCAGUCGUGAGGAGUUGUAGGCACCCAUGUGUGUCAGCUCUCCUUGUUGUAGUCUCUGUUCUCUGGGAUCUAUGCUUUCAUAUACACCGUUUAAAAAUCAUCAGAAUGUAUUCAAUGGGUCAUUGUACCUAUAAAAUCUAUA
rnacentral:misc_RNA from 1 species